CCAGCCUGCAUAGUUGAUCCUGCUCCUUGGGAGCCCUUCCCGUGUCCCCAUGAGUGUCGCUCUGUGCCUUCUGUUUCUAGGACCAGUAUGCCCUAAUAGUUAAGAGAACCAGAUUCCACAUGGCUAAUCAUGCAGUUCAUAUUUGGACUCAUCAGCUUACAACACCCCAGUGAGUUUAUGUGUCCUCUGGACAAAUUAAAAAUUAAA